GACGAACCGGACAAACGUUAUUCGGAAUUACUGGGCUUAAAGGGUUCGUAGGCGGCCUUGUAAGUGGGGUGUGAAAUCCCUCGGCUCAACCGAGGAACUGCGCUCCAAACUACAAGGCUUGAGGGAGACAGAGGUAAGCGGAACUGAUGGUGGAGCGGUGAAAUGCGUUGAUAUCAUCAGGAACACCGGUGGCGAAAGCGGCUUACUGGGUCUCUUCUGACGCUGAGGAACGAAAGCUAGGGUAGCGAACGGG
rnacentral:rRNA from 1 species